UACGGGGGGGGCAAGCGUUGUUCGGAAUUACUGGGCGUAAAGGGCUCGUAGGCGGCCAACUAAGUCAGACGUGAAAUCCCUCGGCUUAACCGGGGAACUGCAUCUGAUACUGGAUGGCUUGAGUUCGGGAGAGGGAUGCGGAAUUCCAGGUGUAGCGGUGAAAUGCGUAGAUAUCUGGAGGAACACCGGUGGCGAAGGCGGCAUCCUGGAGCGACACUGACGCUGAGGAGCGAAAGCCAGGGGAGCAAACGGG
rnacentral:rRNA from 1 species